rnacentral:rRNA from 1 species
GACGAACGCUGGCGGCGUGCCUAACACAUGCAAGUCGAGGGAGAAAGCCCGCAAGGGUGAGUAAACCGGCGAACGGGUGCGUAACACGUGGAUAAUCUACCUUCCUGACUGGGACAACUGGCCGAAAGGCUUGCUAAUACCAGAUAAGCCCACGGCGUCUUUGGACGCUGAGGGAAAAGGUGGCCUCUGCAUGCAAGCUAUCACAGGGAGAUGAGUCCGCGGCCCANCAGCUAGUUGGCGGGGUAAAAGCCCACCAAGGCUACGACGGGUAGCUGGUCUGAGAGGAUGAUCAGCCACACUGGAACUGAGACACGGUCCAGACUCCUACGGAGGCAGCAGUGGGGAAUAUUGGACAAUGGGCGCAAGCCUGAUCCAGCAAUGCCGCGUGAGUGAUG